AAAGAACAUAGAGACACUAGAAUACAAUACAGUAGACCAGUUAGGCAAAGGGCAGGUGAGAGGUUGUUACAAUAUAGACAUUUUAAGACAAUUGCCUUGUCGUGGUUGAUUGAAAGCAAAAUGUCAUAUGAGUGACCAUCAAGACGGAUUUGGUUCUUACAGGUAGAAUAACUUUCACCUCUUUAUUUAUUUAAAGUGAUUCUGUAAGCACUAUAACAACAACUUUAGCUUAAUAAAUCAGUGUUGGUGUAUAGAUCAUGCCCUUGCAGUAUGACUGCUCAAUUCUCUGCUAUUUAGAAGUUUAAUCUCUUUUGUUUUAGUUUGUGCAGUCCUAGCAACACCUCUCCUGAUUAAUAGAUAUCCCAAAUGCUAACAUUGGGGUUGUAGUGACUCCCUAUAGGGUUUACAAAAACAAAAAAUUCUAAUGUGGCGGAUGAAAAGCAAGUACCGGCCAGCCUCCACAUGUUAAACUAUCAAGCUGCAGACGGGUUUUAGUCCGCCACAUUGACAAACUUUGGUUCAUCCACGCCAAAAUAUUUUUUCAGGCAAAUCUAUUUGGUCGAACAGAAUUUUUAUUUUGCCGUCUAAUACAAAAAGCUUCAAUGAUCUGACAUUUACAACAUAUACCAUGUAUCCCAGUAAUCUAGUGCCCAUGUCAAACCUUGUUAAAACAGUGGGUGCUUUUAUUUUACCUUCCCUUAAUGCUGGAAGGAUGAGGAAUUGAUUUUACUUAGCAAGAGCCUGGAGACUACUUCCUCCUUCUCCCGGAUUGGUGGAUGGACAGGGCAACUAAAUUCCUUCACUCAAAAAACAUGAUUCCUCAAAAACUCUAUUACUGGAAUUAAACCCCUCUUCCUAUUUUACUCCCAACGAGCAUGUUUUGUAUCAGCAGGAGAAUAAAAUUGUUAAAUUCAAGGUAGAACGCUUGAGGGAGAAGGUCAAAUUUCAGUUCAACUGGCGUUAUACUACCCAAGGACACUUGUACAUACGCAAUUCACAUUAAUAAAAGAAUCAAUAUUACACAAACUUUUAAUAUAUAACUAAUUAUGAGGUCUUUUUGCAUGAAAGUGAAUCUAUUGAACAUUUUGACGUUGGAAUUGUGUCCUUCAACAGGAAACCCAUGCUGAAGUCAAUAAUCUAUUAUGAUUUUCAUUUUGCAGAAGUAGCCUAUUAUUUCCAUAGGUCUCAAAAAUCAAUUUAACAUUCCGUAUAUCAGUGCAAUAAUGACAUCCCAA